UACAAUGUACAGGUUUUACUAGCGAAAUGAAAAUUUUCCUGUCCUGUCUGCUGUAAUCAUUUUAUAUCUGGAAAACCAGCCGACUUAAUCGAUAAUAACAAUCCAGAUUGGGUUCCUUCAAAAAAUAUGGGCUAUAAACACAAUGAAAUAAGUUCCCC
rnacentral:lncRNA from 1 species